GACGAACGCUGGCGGCGUGCUUAACACAUGCAAGUCGAACGGAAAGGCCCCUUUGGGGGUACUCGAGUGGCGAACGGGUGAGUAACACGUGAGUAACCUGCCCUUGACUUCGGGAUAACUUCAGGAAACUGGGGCUAAUACCGGAUAGGAAUCUUUGCUGCAUGGUGGGGGUUGGAAAGCUUCGGCGGUUUUGGAUGGACUCGCGGCUUAUCAGCUUGUUGGUGGGGUAGUGGCUUACCAAGGCUUUGACGGGUAGCCGGCCUGAGAGGGCGACCGGCCACGUUGGGACUGAGAUACGGCCCAGACUCCUACGGGAGGCAGCAGUGGGGAAUAUUGCACAAUGGGCGGAAGCCUGAUGCAGCAACGCCGCGUGCGGGAUGACGGCCUUCGGGUUGUAAACCGCUUUCAGCAGGGGCGAAGCUUGUGGUGACGGUACCUGCAGAAGAAGCACCGGCUAACUACGUG
rnacentral:rRNA from 1 species